rnacentral:rRNA from 1 species
CUAUAAUGUACUUGAUCUUGAUAAUCCAACGUGGAUAACUGUGGUAAUUCUAGAGCUAAUACAUGCACCAAAGCUCCGACUUCGUGGACGAGCGCAUCUAUUAGGUUAAAACCAAUCGGGCAAUCAAACGGUUACCCGUCAAUUGGUGACUCUGAAUAGCUAUGGCUGAUCGCAUGGUCUCGCACCGGCGAUGUGUCUAUCAAGUGUCUGCCUUAUCAACUUUCGAUGGUAGUUUAUGUGCCUACCAUGGUUGUAACGGGUAACGGAGAAUAAGGGUUCGACUCCGGAGAGGGAGCCUGAGAAACGGCUACCACAUCCAAGGAAGGCAGCAGGCGCGCAAAUUACCCACUCUCGGCACGAGGAGGUAGUGACGAAAAAUAACGAGACCGCUCUCUUCGAGGCCGGUUAUCGGAAUGGGUACAAUCUAAACCCGUUAACGAGGACCAAUGAGAGGGCAAGUCUGGUGCCAGCAGCCGCGGUAAUUCCAGCUCUCAAAGUGUAUAUCGUCAUUGCUGCGGUUAAAAAGCUCGUAGUUGGAUCUGCGCCUCAGGACCCGGUCCAUCCUUUGGAUGAGAACUGGGCUCCUAGGCUAGUACUGUCGGUUUUCCCUGCCUGGCCCUCAUCGGUUGCGUAGGGUGGCCGGCGAGUUUACCUUGAAAAAAUUAGAGUGCUCAAUGCGGGCUGACGCCUGAAUACUCGUGCAUGGAAUAAUGAAAUAGGAUCUCGGUUCUAUUUUGUUGGUUUUCUGAGUCGAGAUAAUGGUUAAGAGGGACGGACGGGGGCAUUCGUAUCGCUGCGUGAGAGGUGAAAUUCUUGGACCGUAGCGAGACGCCCGACUGCGAAAGCAUUUGCCAAGAAUGUCUUCAUUAAUCAAGAACGAAAGUCAGAGGUUCGAAGGCGAUCAGAUACCGCCCUAGUUCUGACCGUAAACGAUACCAACUAGCGUUCCGUCGGUGGUAAAUACGCCUUGACGGGCAGCUUCCCGGAAACGAAAGUCUUUCGGUUCCGGGGGAAGUAUGGUCGCAAAGCUGAAACUUAAAGAAA